rnacentral:rRNA from 1 species
GACAGAGGGUGCAAACGUUGUUCGGAAUUACUGGGCGUAAAGCGCACGUAGGCGGACUACUAAGUCAGGGGUGAAAUCCCGGGGCUCAAACCCCGGAAGCGCAUUGGAUACUACGGAGCUUGAGUCCUGAAGAGGAGAGCGGAAUUCCCGGUGUAGCGGUGAAAUGCGCAGAUAUCGGGAAGAACACCCAUGGCGAAGGCAGCUCUCUGGGACGGUACUGACGCUGAGACGGCGAAAAGCGUGGGGAGCAAACAGGG